CAGUGAAUGGUAGAAUGAAGUACUUAGGGUUUUGAUCUCUAAGGUAUAGGUUCAGGUCCUAUUUCUCUAG
rnacentral:tRNA from 1 species